UACGUAGGGGGCAAGCGUUGUCCGGAGUUACUGGGCGUAAGGCGCACGCAGGCGGUCUCUUAAGUUUGGAGUGACAGUUGGUGGCUUAACUGCCAAAGUGCUUCGAAAACUGAGAGACUUGAGGGCUUCAGAGGGACACGGAAUUCCGGGUGGAGUGGUGAAAUGCGUAGAUAUCAGGAGGAACACCUGUGGUGUAGACAGCUUACUGGACCACUUCUGACGCUGAGACACGAAAGCGUGGGUAGCAAACAGG
rnacentral:rRNA from 1 species